rnacentral:rRNA from 1 species
AUUGAACGCUGGCGGCAUGCCUUACACAUGCAAGUCGAACGGCAGCAUGGAGAGCUUGCUCUCUGAUGGCGAGUGGCGAACGGGUGAGUAAUGCAUCGGAACGUACCGUGUAAUGGGGGAUAACGUAGCGAAAGUUACGCUAAUACCGAAUACGACCUGAGGGUGAAAGCAGGGGAUCGCAAGACCUUGCGUUAUACGAGCGGCCGAUGUCAGAUUAGCUAGUUGGUGAGGUAAAGGCUCACCAAGGCGACGAUCUGUAGCGGGUCUGAGAGGAUGAUCCGCCACACGGGGACUGAGACACGGCCCAGACUCCUACGGGAGGCAGCAGUGGGGAAUUUUGGACAAUGGGGGCAACCCUGAUCCAGCCAUGCCGCGUGAGUGAAGAAGGCCUUCGGGUUGUAAAGCUCUUUCGGCCGGGAAGAAAUCGCACAGGCUAAUACUCUGUGUGGAUGACGGUACCGGCAUAAGAAGCACCGGCUAACUACGUGCCAGCCGCCGCAGUAA